rnacentral:piRNA from 1 species
GAUGGUAUGAGAGUAGUGGACAGAAGG